GCUUUCGAGAUAACCACUUAUAACUGCUUCUCCCCCCUUCAUGAGACCGGAUGCUAUGUUGGGAUCACCGGGGCCUCCAUCGCCCGGCAUGUACACGCUACAUCAGGUGUAGGUGAACAACAUCAGAGUGCGGCAGUCAGAGAUCCUAAAGAAGGACUCCAUAUGUUUAGUCGAGACAGUACGCCGUACAUCUCUUAUGACGAGGAUAUUUGUGUAAGGACCGCUUUCCCGAUACUGACAAGGACAUUUAAGCAAUUAUGUGAGCUGCAGUCUGGAUCCUGCCUCUGUCAGAUGACCUAACACAAAUGGAAAGAUGACAUCGGCCCUUGCAAGGACUUCAGACGAUGCCAGCACUGGACUACAUACAGUGGUAAUCAUGAGCGUUUCAUGUUUAACUUUAUGCCUUUUGGAGAUCAUUUCAUCUUCCCCUCGCUUAAAUGUUUACAUUAACAGAAUUUUUUUACCAGGGUUGCCCAAACUUGUGCAUGUCACUGUACUGAUAUAUACUAUACAAAUAAUAUUUUCAGUAGUCCGUGUCAAAUUUUAUUUCAAGGUAAGAUAGCUUUACAUGUCUUUCAUUGUGCUUUAGUGAUCAUCACACAGGCCCUGUUUAUGUUCUUAACCGGCAUGAGUUUAUUUAUUGUGGUAUACACAAAACAAGAUAUUUUGAUAAAUGAUGUUAAGUACACAGCUGCUCAUUUACUUCAAUAAAAUGUAUUUUUCCUAUUAUGGAAGUAAAUGGGUACCAUCAACUGUAUGAUUGACAUCAUUUAUCAGAUUAAAGAAUUUCUGGCAAGUUUAUAACAACAUGAAGGUGAGUAAAUGAUACAAUUAUAAUUUUUACGUAAACUUUUAGCUUUGAAGGAUUAUUUACUCAACCCCAUGUCAUCCAAGAUGUUUGUCUUUCUUUCUUUAGCCAAACACAAUUAGAGUUAUAUUAAAUACUGUCCUGGCCAGUGGCGGCUCGUGACUGCUCUUCUGAGGGGUGCGAAUUCAAAAUAAGUGUUCAGAGUGUCAUGUGUGUUGCUCGUGUUUUCAAAAUACUUGUCUUGUCAAAAGAAGUGCCUGCUGCACACGCGUCAAAACCGUUUAUGAUAAAAGAGAUGCUCACGUUCACAAAAUACACGCAACACAUUCACUUAACAUUAAACUCUGAUUACGCAUGAGAUUAUGCAAGUA